AGUCAGUUGUUGUUGUAUAUAGAUGUUUUUAAGUUCUAUACAUCACCAGUUGUCUCAU
rnacentral:pre_miRNA from 1 species